rnacentral:rRNA from 1 species
AUUGAACGCUGGCGGCAGGCCUAACACAUGCAAGUCGAGCGAGCGGCGGACGGGUGAGUAAUGUAUGGGGACUGCCCGAUAGAGGGGGAUAACUACUGGAAACGGUAGCUAAUACCGCAUACUAUCGGAUAACCCAUAUGGGAUUAGCUAGUAGGUGAGGUAAUGGCUCACCUAGGCGACGAUCCCUAGCUGGUCUGAGAGGAUGAGCAGCCACACCUGGACUAGGACGCGGCCCAGACUCCUACGGAGUCAACCGUGGGGAAUAUUGCACCAUGGGCACAAGCCUGAUGCAGCCAUGCCACGGGUAUGAAGAAGGCCCUAGGGUUGUAAAGUACUUUCAGUCGGGAGGCGUUACCGACAGAAGAAGCACCGGCUAACUCCGUGCCAGCAGCCGCGGUAAUAC